rnacentral:rRNA from 1 species
AUUGAACGCUGGCGGCAUGCUUUACACAUGCAAGUCGAACGGCAGCGCGGGCUUCGGCCUGGCGGCGAGUGGCGAACGGGUGAGUAAUACAUCGGAACGUGCCCAGUAGUGGGGGAUAGCUCGGCGAAAGCCGGAUUAAUACCGCAUACGACCUGAGGGUGAAAGCGGGGGAUCUUCGGACCUCGCGCUAUUGGAGCGGCCGAUGGCAGAUUAGCUAGUUGGUGGGGUAAAGGCCUCCCAAGGCGACGAUCUGUAGCUGGUCUGAGAGGACGACCAGCCACACUGGGACUGAGACACGGCCCAGACUCCUACGGGAGGCAGCAGUGGGGAAUUUUGGACAAUGGGCGAAAGCCUGAUCCAGCAAUGCCGCGUGUGUGAUGAAGGCCUUCGGGUUGUAAAGCACUUUUGGCGGGAACGAAAAGGACUGUGCCAAUACCACGGUUCGAUGACGGUACCCGCAGAAUAAGCACCGGCUAACUACGUG